UACGUAGGGGGCAAGCGUUGUCCGGAAUCAUUGGGCGUAAAGCGCGCGUAGGUGGCCCAGUAAGUCCGUUGUGAAAGUCAAAGGCUCAACCUUUGAAAGCCGAUGGAUACUGCUGGGCUUGAGUCCGGAAGAGGCGAGUGGAAUUCCUGGUGUAGCGGUGGAAUGCGCAGAUAUCAGGAGGAACACCAAUAGCGAGGGCAGCUCGCUGGGACGGUACUGACACUAAGGCGCGAAAGCGUGGGGAGCGAACAGG
rnacentral:rRNA from 1 species